rnacentral:rRNA from 1 species
UGGGGAAUAUUGCACAAUGGGCGCAAGCCUGAUGCAGCCAUGCCGCGUGUAUGAAGAAGGCCUUCGGGUUGUAAAGUACUUUCAGCGGGGAGGAAGGGAGUAAAGUUAAUACCUUUGCUCAUUGACGUUACCCGCAGAAGAAGCACCGGCUAACUCCGUGCCAGCAGCCGCGGUAAUACGGAGGGUGCAAGCGUUAAUCGGAAUUACUGGGCGUAAAGCGCACGCAGGCGGUUUGUUAAGUCAGAUGUGAAAUCCUCGGGCUCAACCUGGGAACUGCAUCUGAUACUGGCAAGCUUGCGUCUCGUAGAGGGGGGUAGAAUUCCAGGUGUAGCGGUAAAAUGCGUAGAGAUAUGGAGGAAUACCGGUGGCGAAGGCAGCCCCCUGGACGAAGACUGACGCUCAGGUGCGAAAGCGUGGGGAGCAAACAGG